AACGAACGCUGGCGGCACGCUUAACUCAUGCAAGUCGAACGAGACCUUCGGGUCUAGUGGCGCACGGGUGCGUAACGCGUGGGAAUCUGCCCUUUGCUACGGAAUAACUCAGAGAAAUUUGUGCUAAUACCGUAUAAUGUCUACGGACCAAAGAUUUAUCGGCAAAGGAUGAGCCCGCGUAAGAUUAGCUUGUUGGUGGGGUAAAGGCCUACCAAGGCGACGAUCUUUAGCUGGUCUGAGAGGAUGAUCAGCCACACUGGGACUGAGACACGGCCCAGACUCCUACGGGAGGCAGCAGUGGGGAAUAUUGGACAAUGGGCGAAAGCCUGAUCCAGCAAUGCCGCGUGAGUGAUGAAGGCCUUAGGGUUGUAAAGCUCUUUUACCAGGGAUGAUAAUGACAGUACCUGGAGAAUAAGCUCCGGCUAACUUCGUGCCAGCAGCCGCCGUAA
rnacentral:rRNA from 1 species